rnacentral:rRNA from 1 species
GAUCCUGGCUCAGGAUGAACGCUAGCGGGAGGCCUAAUACAUGCAAGUCGAGCGGUAGAGUGACUUCGGUUGCUUGAGAGCGGCGAACGGGUGAGUAACGCGUACACAAUCUACCUUUAAGAGGGGAAUAGCCCUGGGAAACUGGGAUUAAUGCCCCAUGGCAUCACGAGACGGCAUCGUUUUGUGAUUAAAGCUGAGGUGCUUAGAGAUGAGUGUGCGUCUGAUUAGCUAGUUGGUGCGGUAACGGCGCACCAAGGCGACGAUCAGUAGGGGGCGUGAGAGCGUGGACCCCCACACGGGUACUGAGACACGGACCCGACUCCUACGGGAGGCAGCAGUAAGGAAUAUUGGUCAAUGGAGGAAACUCUGAACCAGCCAUCCCGCGUGCAGGAAGAAUGCCCUAUGGGUUGUAAACUGCUUUUAUCUGGGAAGAAAAGUCGGGAUUUAUCCUGAUCUGACGGUACCAGAGGAAUAAGCACCGGCUAACUCCGUG